AAAACAAACCUACGGGAGGCAGCAGUGGGGAAUAUUGGACAAUGGGCGCAAGCCUGAUCCAGCAAUGCCGCGUGAGUGAUGAAGGCCUUCGGGUCGUAAAGCUCUUUUACCAGGGAUGAUAAUGACAGUACCUGGAGAAUAAGCUCCGGCUAACUCCGUGCCAGCAGCCGCGGUAAUACGGAGGGAGCUAGCGUUGUUCGGAAUUACUGGGCGUAAAGCGCACGUAGGCGGCUAUUCAAGUCAGAGGUGAAAGCCCGGGGCUCAACCCCGGAACGGCCUUUGAAACUAGGUAGCUAGAAUCUUGGAGAGGUCAGUGGAAUUCCGAGUGUAGAGGUGAAAU
rnacentral:rRNA from 1 species